ACGGUCAUCUGCAAGAAAUCAGUUUUCAAAGAAGCGUUUGAUGGACUGACAAUCAUCUGACCCUGGGACGAGAUGAAAUGGUCCAAUUCAAGCUGGAGUGGGACUCGCUUUUCUGGAGAGCACAUGAGUUUAGAAGAGAGUGAUGAAGCUGAAUUUUGGAACCACUAAUUUGGCUUCUGAAGCGUGUUGGGAUCCAGGCUGGCAGUAAUAGCAAAAUAGAAUUUUACACCACGAUGUUGUCACCCCAGUUUGACAAUGAUGAAAACUGUGGCUGUUCAAUAGCUGUUGGAGCACCUGAAGCAUCUGUGCCACAGCAUUCGUGACCACCUUCAGCACAGCUGUGUUGGAAAUGAGGGUGAAGAACUGCCUGAGUCUUGUGGUGACCAAGGCCGGAGGAGACCUUGUUAAAUCACAUCAAAUGAGCCUGGAGGUGCAACGUGGAGAGCUCACCUUGAUGGUGCAGUGGGAUAAGUUCAGGGCUCUGACAUCUCUGGUGUCCACAGCAGACAGGAGCUGUGGCAGGAGAGCUGGCAUCAGACUUCUUCUACCCGAUGCCACAGUGGAUCACUAAACUUGUUGCAAAAUUCCAGCUCACUGGCAGCAAAGCCACAGAUCACCUGAACUGUCCCUGGCACUCACCUAUGUUGUGACUCAUCCUCACUCUCCAGCACAGCUCCUCUCCUGGCUGGUGUGAAUGUGCCUCUCCAGGGGAAAGCCUGGCUUGAACUUGACCUGCUCACAGGAUUCCAGAAGGCAAAGGAAUUCCAGGAGAGGAGGAAAUAAACAUUUCCUAAGUCAGA